GAAGGGGCCUCUGUGUCACCGUAGCCACGGAGAUCAGGUGCCACCGCACGGUAACCGAGGGAGCUCAGAGCUAGAAUCUGGUGGCGCCAUGAGUACCAGAGUUCUGGGAAGCCGUGCAAGAACAACACCACUGCUCCUUCUCCUUUCUCUGCAACAUGCAUCUUUAUGCCGUUCACUUCCACCGUUCUGUGCUCUAUGCUCUCCAUCUCUCUCUCUCUCUACCUUCUGCAGCUAAACUCGGCAAUUCAACA
rnacentral:lncRNA from 1 species